CCUUCUUUAUUCAAUGCAUCACUUUGAUAGAGAGGUUUUCAGAUUAUAAAUCUCACGGUCUCAGGAUUUUAGACCAAUCACAAACCACACAACCAAGCCACACAAUCAAGUACAUAGAGAACUUCACAGUAUCAUUCAAUGCAUAUCAAUCGCUAUUAAGAGUUUAUCUAUCAAAUAGAAUAAACCAUAACCUACCUCCACCGAAGAACUGAUGUCAAGCAAGCUACUUUCCCAAUA
rnacentral:lncRNA from 1 species